AUGUAAAUUAAAAAAAUAAAAUAAAAUAAAAAGAUUUUAAGAACUUGGAAAUAUUAAAAAAAAAAAAGAAGUCACCUACAGGAGUCACUAUCAGGGACAUUCAAGGUCACAAGAUCACACAUAACAAUUAUACAAAGAACAGAUCACUAUUAUUACCACUAUUAUUAGCUUCAUAAGUUCUGGUCUCUACAAAAUUCAGGAAAUUUGCAGCCCUCUCUUGAGAGAAAGAGAGAGAGAGAGAGAGAGAGAAGUCAGGGAGUCAAUCUCAGACCUAGCCCUGGUUCCUGCUGGUGCUGUCUCUGUAAUUUUCUAGAGCCAUUCCAGGUUUUCCCAUUGACCCGGAAGUCUGGGAAGGAGGGGAGGUUUGCAGAGGAGGAGUGAAAUCCACACCAGGUUUUUCUAUCAGUCCAUCUGCCUGGCCGCAGGUCUGACCGCCCCCUCAGUCUGUCCCCUCCAACCUCACUGUGUUUCUAUCCUCUGCUUCACUAACCACCUCCUUUUUUUUCUAGCAAUAAGCAGCCUCACUACUGGGGUUUUGCCUCUGUAGUCAAUCUAUCUCUCUUUUAAAUGGCACGCUUGCUUUUGAGCUUCAGGGACUGGCAGAGUCCCUGCUACCCUCCACUUCCCUCCCAAACCUCAGAGCACACCCCAUGCAGUCUAGAUUUUUAAACUGAGGCCACCUCACCCACUCCUGGGUUUGCAGACACCUGAGGCCCCGGUGCCUAGUCUUCAGCUCUUCCUAAGACCCGGCACAACCCCUAAGAAGCAAUAUUUCCCACCCCGAAGGUGGCCCCGCUUGAAAUGACCACUUCCAAAAAUUAGAGACAAAGUGUGCCUUUGUGGUCAGAAUAGUCAUGCAAGAGGACAAGGAUCCACACGUCACUGGGGCCAGUCACAAGUACAAAUAUGGUUCCCAGGACACCUAGGAGCAGUGGAGGCAGGACCUCCUCCCCGCCCCUCAGCUCAUAACAGCGCACGUGUCUAAGCUGGGCACAGCUGGCCUGGCCACUGCAGUGGGAGAUUGGCGGUGCUGCGCUCUCCCUAAGGGACGUGCAGGAGGCCAAUGACAGCACAGUUUCUUGCCUGGAGAAAUGGCCUUGUUAGAAAAGAGGCACCCCUAGACUCCAGCCUGUCCUUCCUCUGAGCUAACUCAGACCUGCUGAACCAGGGCCCCAAUAAGCAAUAAAGGCAGAGGACAUGAACCUUCAGGUCAACCUGGUUGGUUCCUACUUAAUUAAAGUGUUGCCUUUCUUACCUCUAAGGACUUAAGAGCACAAGCAGCAUUGUGUCAAUCCUUGUAACCCCCUCAGUGCUGAGGAAGUAAAACACCAGACUUGCCAUUCAUCGGACUGGGGUAACAGACACAGGCAAAGACAGCUACAAAGUUCACAGCAAACAUUACUUCUCCCAGGGACACACUGCAGCUGAAAAGUACCACAGGACCCCCUUCUAAGAGUGACUACCGCUUUCUUGCUCUCAGAAGACUUGUCUUCUAAAAUCAGACUGUCAGUAACGUCGCUAUUUGAAAUUAUUUCCAUAAGAAUGAAAUAUCCCAGUCUUGCCUGAAGGAACUAAGACACUCCGAAGCAGAGAAGCAAACUUGACAUAGAACCCAGGUGCAGAGGUUCAGAUAAAGGUGUCUGGACACAAGAAUCUACAUUGACCUUAACUCAGUGGUUUCUGAGGAAAUAGGACCUUGUGCCCAUUUCACAGUCCAGACCUGGUGAUGAGCCUUUUACACUCACCCUGCAUUGCCUAAAGUGCAUUGAAACACUACUUCAUUUGAAUUUCACCCAGAUUCCAUUCUUCCCCCAAACUCUACAAUAACUCUACUUUUCCCUAUUUGGAGAAGGUCCAGAGUAACUCUACUGUGUGGUUUUUCUCAUUGCAAUGAACCAAUAAACCUGACUUUGUCAGACUACAGGUUUAUCCCUGGUGGUCCUAGCCUGACCGGGCCGUGACGGUAGCAAGUACAGAAACUUACGGACAAUGGGAGACACUUCUGAAGAACCACUGAGCAGUCGCUGUGGACUGUAAAACAGACGAAGAUAUUGUGUAAUUAUCCAGAGAUUCCACAUGCGAGCGAUACCAUGCAGUACUUGUUUUUCUCUGUCUGGAUUAUUUCAUUUAGCACAAUUCCCUCAAGGCUGAUCCAUGUCUGAAUUUGCUUACAAAAGUCCUUGCAUGAAAGAGAGAAAGAAAGAAAGAAAGAAAGAAAGAAAGAAAGAAAGAAAGAGGCCUUGCAUUUGCAAUCUGUUUCAUUUACAUUGCAACAGUUUCUAUAGUGGUCACACCCAACUUGUUUUGUUCUUUUGUCCAAUGAACAUUUAUUAAAAAGAAAACAUGCUCAACAAUUACAUUGUGAGCUAGUAUCCUGAUUGUACUGGCUGUCACUAACUGGCUCAAUUUCAGAAGCUUGGGGCUAUCAGACAGUUGAGGACUCAGUGCAAGAUGGGACUGACAGGUGGCAGUCAUUCAAAAAGAAAAGUCACUUCCUUUCAGUGACAUUCUCUUUUCCCAGAACAGGCUAGGUUCAGGCUUGGCCACAGAAGGAAGUCCUUGUAGGCUUAGCUGACAAGAAAAUCUCGUUUCCAAAGUCUCCAAUCUGCUGUGAGACUGAACACUGAUGAUACCUGUAAUUCCGUGGGUCUGAAGGGGAUAGGAAUUUCCAGGACGAGGUUCGCUUUCCUGUAUGACCGGAUUGCUGUCAAGGCUUCUUGCCUUAGAAGGUGGUCCCUUUUCAAAUGUGGAUGCUUAGCCUGUAUAUAAAGGCUGUAGUCAAAUUCCUAGGUACGAAGAGCCUUAUUUCCAAAAUAGGCCAACCAGAGGUUAGACCUCCAUUGCUAUCAGUAGCUGGUAGCUGCACCGGAAGCCCCCAAGGGGUCCCGUGAAUAACGGAAGCAUUUCUUCUCUUAUUUUUCUCUUUUACAGCUUUAUUGAGGCACAACUGGUACACAAAAAUUGCAUGCAUUUAAUGUAUAUGUUUUGAUGAGUUUGGAUAUAUACACACACUCCUGUGAUACCGUCCCCACAAUCAAGGUAGCAAACAUAUCUAUACAGCCUUCAAAAGUUUCCAAGCCCAUCCGUUUGUGGUCAGCUUCUCCAAGAUGGGACACAACAGAAUGCACGCAGUAUGUGCAGGGCUGUGCCAUCAGUAUAUUGGCAUGUUCGGCCCCAAGCAGCAGAUCUCAGUACUCUUGCUGGGGCCAGAGCCCAGACCCUGGCCCGUGAUAAGAUAUGAAUGAACAUCUGAGGGACUUGCUGGAAUAGCGGAUGGGAACCUGGAAGCUGAUGAUACUACAACGUAAUUAUCUCCAGGUAAGGCGUUGUG